rnacentral:rRNA from 1 species
CCUACGGGGGGCUGCAGUGGGGAAUAUUGGACAAUGGGGGCAACCCUGAUCCAGCCAUGCCGCGUGUGUGAAGAAGGCCCUCGGGUUGUAAAGCACUUUCAGUGAGGAAGAACGCCUGGUGGUUAAUACCCAUCAGGAAAGACAUCACUCACAGAAGAAGCACCGGCUAACUCCGUGCCAGCAGCCGCGGUAAUACGGAGGGUGCGAGCGUUAAUCGGAAUUACUGGGCGUAAAGCGCGCGUAGGUGGCUUGAUAAGCCGGUUGUGAAAGCCCCGGGCUCAACCUGGGAACGGCAUCCGGAACUGUCAAGCUAGAGUGCAGGAGAGGAAGGUAGAAUUCCCGGUGUAGCGGUGAAAUGCGUAGAGAUCGGGAGGAAUACCGGUGGCGAAGGCGGCCUUCUGGACUGACACUGACACUGAGGUGCGAAAGCGUGGGUAGCAAACAGGAUUAGAUACCCUUGUAGUC